rnacentral:rRNA from 1 species
CCUACGGGGUGCUGCAGUGGGGAAUAUUGGACAAUGGGCGAAAGCCUGAUCCAGCCAUGCCGCGUGUGUGAAGAAGGCCUUCGGGUUGUAAAGCACUUUCAGUGGGGAAGAAAGCCUUGGGGCUAAUACCCUCGAGGAAGGACAUCACCCACAGAAGAAGCACCGGCUAACUCCGUGCCAGCAGCCGCGGUAAUACGGAGGGUGCGAGCGUUAAUCGGAAUUACUGGGCGUAAAGCGCGCGUAGGCGGUCUGAUAAGCCGGUUGUGAAAGCCCCGGGCUCAACCUGGGAACGGCAUCCGGAACUGUCAGGCUAGAGUGCAGGAGAGGAAGGUAGAAUUCCCGGUGUAGCGGUGAAAUGGGUAGAGAUCGGGAGGAAUACCAGUGGCGAAGGCGGCCUUCUGGACUGACACUGACGCUGAGGUGCGAAAGCGUGGGUAGCAAACAGGAUUAGAUACCCCAGUAGU